rnacentral:ncRNA from 1 species
AAUAUUUCAAAAGUAUAUACUCGUAUAAUUCCAACAAUAGGGGUUGGAACUAUCUAGUGGAAACCGUAAAUUUCCUAGCUACGAGAAAAGGUAUCCCUGUG